UGCGUCAAAAUUAACCACUCAGGCCUACGGCAUUCGUGGUCAAUUCCUACGCAUCAAAACUCCAAACCGGUGUUAAAUAGCCGAUAUACACCUCUCAGGCCGAUGUUAUUUCUUAAAUAACACACACUUUCGGUUAUUCUAUAUUCAAUAGGGAAAUAUGCGGGUCGUGUUAGAAUGUAGAAUAAUGCACGCUUCGGGCCUUCUUUGUUUAUUUCGAAAAAAAUCCGAUAGUGUUAGAAUAUAACUAUAAAAUACUUUUUUCAGACAAAGUAUUCUACAAAUAUCGUCUACGAGAACAAUGGUGCCAUUUUAACAAUAUUAUGUUUCUAGAAAACUACCAAUUGUGUAAGAACUUCAUUUGAGAAAUUCAUUCCAGUGAAGCUGUUCUGUCAAAUUAAAGUUUUUUUGUUGUUUUUGUUGUUAUCAUUUCUACGGGUUUUGUCAAUAAUUUGUAGAAUAUUAACCUCAUUUUUAAUACCAACAAUAGACAACAACAAAAAAGUACAACAUUUUAAAUGAAAAUUGCUUGUAGUGACAAAAGGGGAGUAACUGGUGUAACUUUAUACAAUAAAUAUUAUAGUUUUUGUUUUUUAACAACAAUUACAGUUGUUCAGUGCAUGUAUAAGUUGAAGUUUUGGAAAAUGGAUAUUGCGUUAGAGCCAAACUAUUUUUUCGAUUUAUCCUGAUUAAUUCUCUUAUAAUCAUGCUUUAGCUUAAAUCGUAAUGUUUUAUUGAAAUUUCGUAUAUUUCAUUGCGACAGUUUGGUCCAAUUAAGGAUAUAUUUUAUGUAUAUAAUGUUCCGCCAUAGAAAUGAGUUUCGAUAUAAUUCGCUAAAAAACAAAGAUUUUUUUCCACAAAUUCUCAAAUUUAUUUCAGUCAAACAAUUGUUUGGGGACAAUACACCGCUUUUCAUUGAAUGGCACUACUGUGUCAUAUUGAAGGUUCUAUGAUAAGUGCGCCGUAUGAACACAUCUGCGAAUGUUUCUAAAUUCAAAAAAUCAUCAUUUUAGUGUUUAAAAGUUGAAUUCUGCUUAAGCCGAUGCUAGGGGCGUGGACUUUCCAGUACCGUCCAUGAACAGGCUAAAUCAAACCGAGCCUGCAACAUUUUCAAUUUUGUUGUUUUGGACGUUCUUUAGGGAUUCUGUUUUUCUCUAUUUUAUUUACGUGUUUGAAAAUUACAAAUUGUAGACAGCAUAAGCAAUUAAAUAACAUAUGACAAAAAAGUAACUUACAAUAUGUGCGUGUACAUGUCUGGUUUGUCAUUCAAUAAUUAUUUAUUUCGAUUCUAACAUGACGUCAACAAAUAAAUAAUAUUGCCAUACCUGAUAUUAAAUUAGAUUGCGCCUGAUUUGUUUACAGACGAACAUUGACAUAUUGCGGGAUUAUUCGUAAAUUUUUGUCAGGGGAGAGAAUUGGUCAUAAGUCUUAAGUUAACGACAAAAGGUAGGACAGUUACUUGAAACGGUCUUAAGUACAAACACUUUUUCUCCUUCAGUUGGUCAUAAGUCCUAGGAUUUAGAAUUAACUUAGGACUUGCCCUGUGAGCGAUUUUUGCGUUUUGAAAACCUCUUUUUUCUUGUGUGAAUGUAUAAAAGCUCCAAGCCAAACAGGCAACCUGUAGUCUUUAGCCUGAUACUACUGAACGAGUGAUUGCCACCUGAUACUGCUGAACGAGUGAUCGCCGCUUUAAUCGGGUAAAACUCGCUUUGUAAUUGUCUUAUAAUCCAGAGCAUCAGUGGGAGCGCUUCAAAAGUGACAUUAUGCCCAUCCAAAGGUAUAUAGUGAGUGAACGGCUGAAGAUCAAAACAAGUUUUCAUUUUGUUAUAAUUCCUUUUAAUUUUAUAACUAAGUUCACAUAAACAAUAAAAGCUCACAGAUCCAAACGAAAUUUCUGUAAUUAUCCAUUAGAAUUUACCUUAGUUUAUAAAAAGAGUGGGACAGUCUUUUUAUAUUUUAGGCAGAUUUAUAAUUUUAUCCUUAACAUUUUCAAAUAUCAACUGUUGGUCAAACACCAUUUUAAAUAUAAAGUCAAUUCAGCUCAACUUGAGUAUGAUAAUAUGAGCAUAAUGUCACCGCCGCCCUUUAAUCAGUUUCCUCCCCGUUUUUUAGCAUAUUUACAUUUCCGUUUUCCUUGAUCAAUCAAACUGAAGUGUGUAACACUAGCUACAAUCCUGUCUACUAUAUUUAUACAAACGCCGUGUACAUUUAUCGGCGAUUGAGACAUUUAUCGUCAAUUUUUGGACAUUUAUCGUCGUUUGGACAUUUUUCGACGUUUGGACAUAUAUCGGCGCUACAGACGCGGUCAAUAUCUUUACAUAUGGAACGCCGUUUGGUCAAUUUUUUUGCUAUCUUGUGAAAAGAUGAUAUUAUUUUGUCGUUUAAGGAUGUUAACAUGUGCAAUUUACACCAUGUCUUGCCAAAAAAUCAUUCUGACUUGUUGAAACAGCAUGUUAACUUGUCAAAUUAACAUGAUGACCGAGUGAUCGCCGCUUUAAUCGAGUAGAACUCACUUUGUACAUAUCCUGUAUAAUGAUACUACUGAACGAGUGAUCGCCACUUUAGUCGAGUAGAACUCACUUUGUACAUAUCCUGUAUAAUGAUACUACUGAACGAGUGAUCGCCGCUUAAGUCGAGUAGAACUCACUUUGUACAUAUUCUGUAUAAUGAUACUACUGAACGAGUGAUCGCCACUUUAGUCGAGUAAAACUCACUUUGUACAUAUCCUGUAUAAUGAUACUACUGAACGAGUGAUCGCCGCUUUAGUCGAGUAAAACUCACUUUGUACAUAUCCUGUAUAAUUGCCUUAUAAGCCAGAGCAUCUCCGGGAGCGCUGCAAUUUUGAAUCAUCCCCUUAACCUCACCGCCGCCCUUCAAUCAGGUUUCUCCACGUUUUUUAGGCAUAUUUAAAUUUCCGUUUUGCUUGACCAGUCUAACACAAGGUGUGUAACGCUAGCUACGACCUUGUCUACUAUAUUUAUACAAACACCGCUUGACUUGCUUUAUGACUCGCUAUUAUAAUAGUAACGCAGUAUAUUUGGCUAAUAAUAGAAAAUUAACACGGGAAGCUGUGUACAAAAGUUCUUCAAUUUUAAUACUUCAAAUGGAGGAUCAAGUGAUAGCUUCUGAUAAUGCUUCCGAUGCUGUUUCUACAAACUCGACUAAAGUUUACGUGAGGAUUAGUUUGCUGUCAUUGGGAUUUAUCGGGGCUAUAUCAAUAAUUAAUACAUUGAUUAUUGCAAUAGGUAUUUUAACUUAUGCAACUAGCACAGAUGGAAAAUGGUCAAGUUGGGAAUGUUGGAGUGAGUGUCGGUUUGGCCUUCGAACGAGAACAAGGUCUUGUAAUAACCCAACACCUUCAGUAUUCGGACAACACUGUCCAGGGAUUUCUGAAAAAUAUAGAAUAUGUAAUUUGGUAUCUUGCAAAGAUGGAAAACUUUCAGUAAUUGGUAAGUGGUUCAACACUACACAGAACGACAACGACAUUCACCGU